rnacentral:rRNA from 1 species
UACAGAGGUCUCAAGCGUUGUUCGGAUUCAUUGGGCGUAAAGGGUGUGUAGGUGGCGCGCUAAGUCGGGGUGUGAAAUUUCGGAGCUUAACUCCGAAACUGCAUUCGAUACUGGCGUGUUUGAGGACUGGAGAGGAGACUGGAAUUUACGGUGUAGCAGUGAAAUGCGUAGAGAUCAUGAGGAAGACCAGUGGCGAAGGCGGGUCUCUGGACAGUUCCUGAC